GCUAUAUAAAACUAUACUUAACACGCUGGAUAAACAAAAUGGAACGGACACCGGGUUCCAGGCGGAACUACCGCAAGAUCCAUUUGCUGAAAUUUUUACUAUUUCUCCAAUAUAUUCUGAAUGGUACUUUUGGGUAUUAACGAUAGCAAUUGGCUGUUCUAUCAUCAUUUUGGUGUUGUCGUGUUUAAUAUGGUGCCGAAAGCCUUAUAAAACCGCAGUUGUCAGACUUUCAGAACCUCUACCAAGCUUAUAUUCAGGAACAGUUUUAGCACCGGAAGGAAUUAUACAGCCUGACGUCACCUUCUACACUCAAGUACAGCCUUGCAAUGGAAAAGAUAAUUCGCCCAAAACUGAUGGAAUUGUAGAACCUAACAGCCGACUACCAACUCCUUGCAAG
rnacentral:misc_RNA from 1 species